GACGAACGCUGGCGGCGUGCUUAACACAUGCAAGUCGAACGGAAAGGCCUGCUUUCCCUUGUGGAUUGCGGGUACUCGAGUGGCGAACGGGUGAGUAACACGUGAGUGAUCUGCCCCCAACUUGGGUAUAAGCCUGGGAAACUGGGUCUAAUUCCCGAUAGGACUGCAGGGUGGUGCCUGUGGUGGAAAACGAUUUUCUAGUGGUUGGGGAUGAGCUCGCGGCCUAUCAGCUUGUUGGUGGGGGAAUGGCCUACCAAGGCGGCGACGGGUAGCCGGCCUGGGAGGGUGGACGGCCACAUUGGGACUGAGAUACGGCCCAGACUCCUGCGGGAGGCAGCAGUGGGGAAUAAUGCACGAUAGGCGGAAGCCUGAUGCAGCGACGCCGCGUGGAGGAUGACGGCCUUCGGGUUGUAGACUCCUUUCGACCGCGAGGAAGCCACCUGGUUGGAAGGGUGGUGACGGUAGUGGUAGAAGAAGCACCGGCUAACUACGUG
rnacentral:rRNA from 1 species